rnacentral:rRNA from 1 species
GACGAACCGUACGAAUGUUACUCGGAAUCACUGGGCUUAAAGGGUGCGUAGGCUGUCCGGUAAGUUGGGUGUGAAAGCCCUCGGCUCAACCGAGGAAUUGCGCCCAAAACUGUCGGACUUGAGGGAGACAGAGGUGAGCGGAACUUAGGGUGGAGCGGUGACAUGCGUUGAUAUCCUAAGGAACACCAGUGGCGAAAGCGGCUCACUGGGUCUCUUCUGACGCUGAGGCACGAAAGCUAGGGGAGCGAACGGG